rnacentral:rRNA from 1 species
GGUUUUUAGAAUUAAUUAAAAAUCAAGCCUGCUCAAUGCUAAGUAAAUAGCCGCAGAAUUUUAACUGUGCAAAGGUAGCAUAAUCACUUGUCUUUUAAUUGAGGACUAGAAUGAAAGGUUUAACUAUGUAAUUUUGUCUUAUAGUAAUAUUUUGAACUUAAUUUUUUAGUAAAAAAGCUAAAAUACAUCUUAAAGACGAGAAGACCCUAUUAAGCUUAACAAUCUAAUAUUAUUUUCAAACUAAUUAAAAAAUUGUUUUGCUGGGGCAGCAAAUAAAAAAAUAUUGUUUACAUAUUGUGAUUAAUAGAUCUAGAAAAAUCAAUAAUUUAUUAAAAAAUAAUAAGUUACUAUAGGGAUAACAGCAUAAUUUUUUUAAAGAGUUCUCAUCAACAAAAAAGUUUGUGACCUCGAUGUUGGAUUAAGAAUCCUAUUUCACGCAGUAGUAAAAAAAGGGAGUCUGUUCGACUUUUAAAUUCUUCCA